rfam:Canis lupus familiaris chromosome 17, whole genome shotgun sequence.
CCAAAGGCUCUUUUCAGAGCCACCCACGACGGCACUCGGAAGUAG